AAUCAACGCUGGCGGCGUGCCUAACACAUGCAAGUCGAACGCGGUUACUCCCGCAAGGGAGUAACUGAGUGGCGAACGGGUGAGUAACACGUGGGUGACCUACCUUCGAGUGGGGGAUAACGUCCCGAAAGGGACGCUAAUACCGCAUAACAUCCUGCCUUUGAACAGGUGGAGAUCAAAGCCGGGGAUCGCAAGACCUGGCGUUUGAAGAGGGGCCCGCGCCUGAUUAGCUAGUUGGUGAGGUAACGGCUCACCAAGGCGACGAUCAGUAUCCGGCCUGAGAGGGCGGACGGACACACUGGGACUGAGACACGGCCCAGACUCCUACGGGAGGCAGCAGUGGGGAAUUGUUCGCAAUGGGCGCAAGCCUGACGACGCAACGCCGCGUGGAGGAUGAAGGUCUUCGGAUUGUAAACUCCUGUUGCCCGGGACGAAAUGCUCUGACCUAACACGUCAGAGUUUGACGGUACCGGGUGAGGAAGCCCCGGNUAACUCUGUGCCAGCAGCCGCGGUAA
rnacentral:rRNA from 1 species